rnacentral:rRNA from 1 species
AUUGAACGCUGGCGGAAUGCUUUACACAUGCAAGUCGAACGAUGAACCUUAGCUUGCUAAGGGGUUUAGUGGCGAACGGGUGAGUAAUAUAUCGGAACGUGCCUUGUAAUGGGGGAUAACUAGUCGAAAGAUUAGCUAAUACCGCAUACGCCCUGAGGGGGAAAGUAGGGGAUCUUCGGACCUUACGUUAUAAGAGCGGCCGAUAUCGGAUUAGCUAGUUGGUGGGGUAAUGGCCUACCAAGGCGACGAUCAGUAGCUGGUCUGAGAGGACGACCAGCCACACUGGAACUGAGACACGGUCCAGACUCCUACGGGAGGCAGCAGUGGGGAAUUUUGGACAAUGGGCGCAAGCCUGAUCCAGCCAUACCGCGUGAGUGAAGAAGGCCUUCGGGUUGUAAAGCUCUUUCGCAAGGGAAGAAAACUUACCAUCGAAUACAUGGUGAGGCUGACGGUACCUUGAUAAGAAGCACCGGCUAACUACGUG